rnacentral:rRNA from 1 species
UACGUAGGGGGCAAGCGUUGUCCGGAUUUAUUGGGCGUAAAGAGCGUGUAGGCGGCCAGGUAGGUCCGUUGUGAAAACUCGAGGCUCAACCUCGAGACGCCGAUGGAAACCAUCUGGCUAGAGUCCGGAAGAGGAGAGUGGAAUUCCUGGUGUAGCGGUGAAAUGCGCAGAUAUCAGGAAGAACACCCGUGGCGAAGGCGGCUCUCUGGGACGGUACUGACGCUGAGGCGCGAAAGCGUGGGGAGCAAACAGG